AGGGUUUUUCUUUCAUUCAAUUGCUGCCUCCUUCGGUCCUUCCUAUCUGCCUUGCUUCCCUCCGGCCACCGGCGCCGCCCCGCACCGUACCGGACUGAACCGCCGCCCAGCCACGCGCCGGAUGGCCCGUAACUUUGCUCUUUGUCACUUAGUAACUGCUCCGCCGCGCCCAGACCUGCAGCAGGCGCUCGCCGCCCCCACUCCCCAGCAGCAACAACCACCCCUCGCGGCCGUGCCAAAGGGCCGCCUCGGAUAAAAUGAUGAUACUUGAAAAUUCGAAAUUAUUUUUUAGCAAAUAGCCAAGCUAAGUGUAUUAUCGUUCCUCAUACUUUUCCUUGACUACUAAUCACAAGGCCGUAGCUGAAAAUCCAGCUUCAUUUCUCUUGCCAGUUAGAGUCGAACUGAAGCCAAAAAGUGGAAUCAGAUUUGAUAGGCAAUACUUCCAUGCUUCAGAUCCAAGUCUUCAUCUGCGGAAUUCAGAAAUACUAUUAGUAUCACACUUUGACAUUAUGUAUAAAGUAGAAAAAGAUGUUGUAAUAAUUGUUUAGUAUUUGAGUUGUAAUUGAUCCUAAUAGUGAAUAGCAAAAAAAAACUAAACAAAAUAAAAA